ACGAACGCUGGCGGCGUGCUUAACACAUGCAAGUCGAACGGAAAGGCCCUGCUUGCAGGGUACUCGAGUGGCGAACGGGUGAGUAACACGUGGGUGAUCUGCCCUGCACUUCGGGAUAAGCCUGGGAAACUGGGUCUAAUACCGGAUAGGAGCCAUUUUUAGUGUGAUGGUUGGAAAGUUUUUUCGGUGUAGGAUGACCUCGCGGCCUAUCAGCUUGUUGGUGGGGUAAUGGCCUACCAAGGCGGUGACGGGUAGCCGGCCUGAGAGGGUGGACGGCCACAUUGGGACUGAGAUACGGCCCAGACUCCUACGGGAGGCAGCAGUGGGGAAUAUUGCACAAUGGGCGCAAGCCUGAUGCAGCGACGCCGCGUGGGGGAUGACGGCCUUCGGGUUGUAAACUCCUUUCGCUAGGGACGAAGCUUUUUGUGACGGUACCUAGAUAAGAAGCACCGGCUAACUACGUG
rnacentral:rRNA from 1 species